rnacentral:RNase_P_RNA from 1 species
AAGGGGUAUCGAGGGGUUGCUUGAACUGCCGAAGCAGUUCAAGAGGAAAGUCCGGGCUACAGCAAGGCAGGGGUCAGUCUAACGGACUGCCGUCGUAAGACGAGGGAAAGUGCCACAGAAAAGAGACCGCCGAUGGUCGGGCGUGGAGACCCGACACAGGCAAGGGUGAAAAGGUGGGGUAAGAGCCCACCGGGGGGGUGGCGACACUCCCCGCAGGGUAAACCCACCCCGUAGCAAGGAGGGAUGGUAAAGCCUUGCACUUGUAACCCUCCGCACAACCGGUAUCGCGAGAUACGCGGUUAGAUAAAUAACCCCAUAAACAGAACCCGGCUUACAGAUACCCCUUCUUC